GACGAACGCGGCGGCGUGCCUAAUACAUGCAAGUAGAACGCUGAAGGAGGAGCUUGCUUCUCUGGAUGAGUUGCGAACGGGUGAGUAACGCGUAGGUAACCUGCCUGGUAGCGGGGGAUAACUAUUGGAAACGAUAGCUAAUACCGCAUAAUAGCAGUUAUUGCAUGAUAACUGUUUGAAAGGUGCAAUUGCACCACUACCAGAUGGACCUGCGUUGUAUUAGCUAGUUGGUGGGGUAACGGCUCACCAAGGCGACGAUACAUAGCCGACCUGAGAGGGUGAUCGGCCACACUGGGACUGAGACACGGCCCAGACUCCUACGGGAGGCAGCAGUAGGGAAUCUUCGGCAAUGGACGGAAGUCUGACCGAGCAACGCCGCGUGAGUGAAGAAGGUUUUCGGAUCGUAAAGCUCUGUGUAAGAGAAGAACGAGUGUGAGAGUGAAAAGUUCACACUG
rnacentral:rRNA from 1 species